rnacentral:lncRNA from 1 species
CACAUCCUAAAUGCAUUCGAUCAGUUGCUCGAUCGCGUUCUUCACCACGGGCACUGCUUGUGCGGCCAUGUCGUAUUCCGUGGGCCGGCACAUCUCGUCCAUGUUCGUGCGGUCCUUGGCAUACGGCGCGCUAGCAUGGCUGGCCGGCGGCGGCGCGGCGUGUUGCCACGUGAGUAUUGCCAAAUCUCGCCGACCGCAACGACGCCGAGCAGGCCGAGGCGUAGAUAUGACGU